rnacentral:rRNA from 1 species
UACGUAGGGUGCAAGCGUUAAUCGGAAUUACUGGGCGUAAAGCGUGCGCAGGCGGUUUUGUAAGUCUGUCGUGAAAUCCCCGGGCUCAACCUGGGAAUGGCGAUGGUGACUGCAAGGCUAGAGUUUGGCAGAGGGGGGUAGAAUUCCACGUGUAGCAGUGAAAUGCGUAGAUAUGUGGAGGAACACCGAUGGCGAAGGCAGCCCCCUGGGUCAAAACUGACGCUCAGGCACGAAAGCGUGGGGAGCAAACAGG